rnacentral:rRNA from 1 species
AAAUUGAAGAGUUUGAUCAUGGCUCAGAUUGAACGCUGGCGGCAGGCCUAACACAUGCAAGUCGAACGGUAACAGGAAGCAGCUUGCUGCUUCGCUGACGAGUGGCGGACGGGUGAGUAAUGUCUGGGAAACUGCCUGAUGGAGGGGGAUAACUACUGGAAACGGUGGCUAAUACCGCAUAACGUCGCAAGACCAAAGAGGGGGACCUUCGGGCCUCUUGCCAUCAGAUGUGCCCAGAUGGGAUUAGCUAGUUGGUGAGGUAACGGCUCACCAAGGCGACGAUCCCUAGCUGGUCUGAGAGGAUGACCAGCCACACUGGAACUGAGACACGGUCCAGACUCCUACGGGAGGCAGCAGUGGGGAAUAUUGCACAAUGGGCGCAAGCCUGAUGCAGCCAUGCCGCGUGUAUGAAGAAGGCCUUCGGGUUGUAAAGUACUUUCAGCGGGGAGGAAGGUGUUGCGGUUAAUAACCGCAGCAAUUGACGUUACCCGCAGAAGAAGCACCGGCUAACUCCGUGCCAGCAGCCGCGGUAAUACGGAGGGUGCAAGCGUUAAUCGGAAUUACUGGGCGUAAAGCGCACGCAGGCGGUCUGUCAAGUCGGAUGUGAAAUCCCCGGGCUCAACCUGGGAACUGCAUUCGAAACUGGCAGGCUUGAGUCUUGUAGAGGGGGGUAGAAUUCCAGGUGUAGCGGUGAAAUGCGUAGAGAUCUGGAGGAAUACCGGUGGCGAAGGCGGCCCCCUGGACAAAGACUGACGCUCAGGUGCGAAAGCGUGGGGAGCAAACAGGAUUAGAUACCCUGGUAGUCCACGCCGUAAACGAUGUCUACUUGGAGGUUGUGCCCUUGAGGCGUGGCUUCCGGAGCUAACGCGUUAAGUAGACCGCCUGGGGAGUACGGCCGCAAGGUUAAAACUCAAAUGAAUUGACGGGGGCCCGCACAAGCGGUGGAGCAUGUGGUUUAAUUCGAUGCAACGCGAAGAACCUUACCUGGUCUUGACAUCCACAGAACUUUCCAGAGAUGGACUGGUGCCUUCGGGAACUGUGAGACAGGUGCUGCAUGGCUGUCGUCAGCUCGUGUUGUGAAAUGUUGGGUUAAGUCCCGCAACGAGCGCAACCCUUAUCCUUUGUUGCCAGCGAUUAGGUCGGGAACUCAAAGGAGACUGCCAGUGAUAAACUGGAGGAAGGUGGGGAUGACGUCAAGUCAUCAUGGCCCUUACGACCAGGGCUACACACGUGCUACAAUGGCGCAUACAAAGAGAAGCGACCUCGCGAGAGCAAGCGGACCUCAUAAAGUGCGUCGUAGUCCGGAUUGGAGUCUGCAACUCGACUCCAUGAAGUCGGAAUCGCUAGUAAUCGUGGAUCAGAAUGCCACGGUGAAUACGUUCCCGGGCCUUGUACACACCGCCCGUCACACCAUGGGAGUGGGUUGCAAAAGAAGUAGGUAGCUUAACCUUCGGGAGGGCGCUUACCACUUUGUGAUUCAUGACUGGGGUGAAGUCGUAACAAGGUAACCGUAGGGGAACCUGCGGUUGGAUCACCUCCUUACCUGAAAGAAGC